UCACGGCUCUAUCAAAAAGGAGCCUCUGGACAGCAGUGUGUUCUCGUCAUACCACCCCACCCUCCAGCUCGAGCAUGGCACACACAUUAGCUACAGUGGCCCCGGCCCAGACCAGGGGGCCCACAGCCAGGGGCCCAUCUCUACCUCAGAGGCCGCAGCAGUAAGCUCCAGCUCUGAGCCUGAAGUUUACACUACUCUGACUGUGAGUGCACCUUUGACGGCUCACAGCGACCACCUUCAGUCUGCAGAGUACCUGGGGGCCCCCGAGGUCAGGGCCACACAUCUGAUCAGCUCAGGCAAUUACAUGAACUUGUCUGACAGUAAGUCGGAGGACUCAGGGGCCGUGAGCGAAAUGGUGCGGGUCAUGUGCGGGGAGUCUGUGGAGGGGAAGGAGCUGGCCAAACUCCAGACUGUGCAGAUGGAGCAGGACAUGGCCGACCUUUGACCUCACAGAUAUCACCCACCCAGCUCUAUAUUUGUGUGAGAGUGUGUGCGUGUCAAUUGAUUUUUUCUUUCUCAUUCUUAUUUUAUGAAUGUUAAAUUAUUUGCAAAUGUUAUCAUUUGACAAUUACAAUGCACUCUGUACAAAGACAAGCCUUGAGUGUGGACCUUAGCAUUUUAGUAAAAUGAAAAUGCAGUGACAUGUUAAACCCAAACAUUGAAGUUGUUUGCUACUACAGUGGAAAAAGCCUGCCUCUAUGCCCGAGCCAUGGUUAAAUGUACAUUUUUAUAGAAGACACCUGUUUCUUCCUGUUGAGUGGAUGUGAUGUGUAGGAGCAGGUGCUAGAAUGCCUUAGGUCAUGUGACUGUCAUGUUCCUUCAAACUAAAUGCGUCAUCUGCGUCACACCAAAAAGGUCAUUUGGAGACUUCAGAAAAGUUUUAUUCCCAAAAGAGCUAAAGGGGCUUUGAAAUAAGAAAUGAUGUGCCUUUCUGUUUCUUGGCAUUUGCACUAAACACAUGGCAAUGGUCAGAAUAUAUUAUAAAGUAUGUUUGUGCCUUUGACUUUGGCGUUGUGAAUAUUGUGAAUGUCAUACUCCGCCUCUUCAGGAAGUCAGGAGCCAAGCUUUAACCUCACAAAACAAGACAGACAGAACACUUAAGUCAUUUAGUUUGGAAAUUACUUAAACUGUUAUGUUUGUUAACUAAAAUUAUGUGAAUGUAUUUUUCUAAUCCUCCACACUGCAAUAAAACUUUAUAUUUAUAAAAAAAAAAAAAAAUACAAUUAUAAAACUAAUCUGUACAAUGAUAAAGUGUUUAGUAGACCUAUUUUUGAAUGAAAACAUUUGAUAACAUUUUGUGUGAAAUAGACUGUAGAAGUGGGGUGAGUGGUGGAUGGCUGUGAUGGGUUGCACAUGCCUUGCAACCUGGACUUCAUUAGCCUUCCUUCUCUCGUCCAGCCACUGUAAUUCAAAUAAACAGAAAUGAGAUUUCCAG
ensembl:lncRNA